UUUGAACUAAUAGAACAAAAAACAAAAAUAGAAUAUGAUUUACCUGUGCUCUAGUACAAUGGUUAAAACAAAAUCGAGGAAAAAAGCCCCUAGACAGGCAAAAAAAGGAAAAAGAACUGCGUCAAGACUGAAAGACAUCAUACAUAUGCAUUAAAAAAAAGGACCAGCAUACUUAAUCUAUAAAUUUAACCUAAAACAAACCUGCUAUGUGCCAGAGAACUGAAGCGAAUAUGAGCGAGGCAAGAUCCCUCACGUGCAUCCACACACAAAAAUAUAUCAAUUUCCAGCAAUGACCAAAAGUAAAAUACAAAGAAACAAAACAAAAUUAACUUUCUUUGAUAUGAAACUAAAAUGCUCAAAAACGAAGGCAGAUUUAAACCGCAAAAAAGAAAAACCUAUUUUUACCACAAAACUGAAAUGAAGGCCAACGAAGCACAAUCCCACAAGCUAGGACAAAAAGAACUAAAAAUAAUGAGAUGUAAAUAUUAUUCAUAAAUAAAACCUUAUUUAUAUAGCUCUUGUUUGAUCUCCAUUAUUUUCAAUCGCACAUUCUCCAUCAAUUUAGUAUUCCAAAAUGCAUUCUUAAUUUAAUAAAAUGGGGCUCAAGUCUAAAAUAAAGAAUCUAAAAUCAAAAGAAUAUCUAAUAAACUAAAAUUUUAUAGAAUUGUUAAACCUAGUGCCAUUUGGUACUCAUUUUGAUGAGUUUUUUUGGACCAAAUCUCAUUCCUCCUACAGUAACGAAUGGUAACACAGGAUAAGAAGUCAGGCAAAUGUCAGAACAGAAACAAAUUGGAAAAUACUAUUGAGACUAAUGUCACAGAUCGCAAGGUCAUGACUUAAGGCUUGGCAUGACAUGGGAAUGUCAUGGCACAAGGUGGGAAAAUGAGAUAGACUUAUGGGAAAUAAGGUCUAAACUUCGACGAUACAAGGCGAUGAGUGCGUCGCCAAAUUCAGUGGGAGAGUAACUUACCCCACGCGGUCGCGUUCGAUCCGUCCCGGUAGCGGCCGCAAUACAGCGUGGAUAGCACGCUUCAGCAGGACGGAACAGCUUGUGAUAGGGGACGCAAGCAAAUUCGGCAAAAGUCGCAGGUAGGUUCGGGUUGGGGACGUAAGUAGAUGGUUUUGGGGCAGAAUGCAGGCUGCCUAGAUCGUGCAGUUUUUCAGGGCGUUAAUAAGGUUUUUCUAAGUCCCGACCCAGCUAUUUUGGGAGGUACAUGAACCUGCAGCCGGAUAUUUUGAGGAUGCAAGUGGGCAACUUGCACAACUUGUCCACUUGUAUGCCACUUGCAAGCUAAGCGCGAGUUGUAUGCAAGCUAAGCACGAGUUGGCAAGGAUAAAUAUCAACGAUGCAAGCUAAGUGCGAGUUGUAUGCAAGCUAAGAAGGAGUUGUAAGACAAUCCACUUGAAGACAACUAAGAAGGAGUUGGCGACAACUAAGCACGAGAUGGCGACAACUAAGCACGAGGUGUAAAGUGGAAUGUUAAGGAGGUUUAAGUUUGCCUAUAAAUAGAGGUGUAGUCUCAUUUGUAAAAUGUAUGUAGUAGAUGGUAGAGAAUGUAGAGUGAAGAGAGUUUAUUCAUUAGAGAGAUGGUAAAGUUUUUCCGUUCAUUUAUAAACAGAAAGUUUCCCCAUUCUUACUUGUUUUCCAUAUAUUACUUACUUCAAAAUUCUCUUCUCAACGUGGGUAUAAUUUAGCCUCAUUGGUUAAAUUAUUUGUGGGCGUGAAAAGGCUGACUUAACGUUUUCUUGUGAGGUGCGGGAAUUGUAGAACGUUAAGGCCGCACGGUUCUAGUCUGUUCGGGUAUAAUGAAACUAGGCCCGUGACACUAAGUUGUCUAUUUUGCCCUCAGAUUCUAAUUGGAAAUACAAGUGCCAACCGCCUAUGGAAAGUAAAGGGCAUUAAUGGAAAGUACAAAAAUGGCAAAUGUCACUUCAAAGCUAUAUAGCUUGUGGAAUGAGUUAUUGUCAGAGGAAACCAUCCAAUUAGAUGGAAACCAUCAAUUUGAUCGUUAGUUGAUCAAUAAAAUUGAACUUUGACCAACUUUGACCAAUUUAAAAAGGUAACUUUGCUAUUUAACCCUAUAAAACAAUUAAAAUAAAUAAUAAAAAAAUAAAAAUAAAAAUAAAAGGAAAAAAACUAUUCAUCUCCUUCCCCAUCCCCAAAUCCACUGCCUAAAAACCACCACCGUUUGUCACUGUCACAACCACUAAAUUCACAGCCCACCACCACCUCAAUCAAUGAAUCUGCAGAAAUUGAAAAUUAAAUAAGAACUACCACCACUUGCUCCUACAAUCCUCAACCACCAGACACUACUACCGCAAACUUAGAGGAAAUCCACCAAAUUGAUAGUGCCAUUGGACUAAGUAUCCUUAAGCCAUCCUAGAUUCUUCAAAUCUAGGCUCAAUUCCAACUCCUGCAGUAGUAAUUGCAAAAUUUGUUUCUUGGUCCAAGCUUUCUCAACGGCUUUAGUUGCAGCAUUGCUAACGUGCACUGGUUGUUAGACCAUGAAAUAAUCUCCAUUUGAGAAGCGCUCAUGUUGUUGCAGUUUCUCCAAGUUAUGGUGCUCCAUUGCCGCAUAAAAUUCUAAGGAAAUUUGAGAAUUAGAGAAGAAAUACCUUCACAUUUUUUUUGAAAGGUAAAUGCCUUGACAUUUGUAGAGGAAUGGUAGCCGUAAAUUGAACUUGAGAAUGGUGGAUGGUCAGAAUUUGAUUUAAUUUCAUAUGUAGAUAGGACUAGCUCGUCGUUGCAAUCAGAAGAGGUGAUGGCAUCAAUUUUGAGGCAAAGUGGUGGUGGCAUCGUUUUUGAUUUCUCAUUGGGUUCAAUUGGCAAUGAAUAAAAGGGUAGCAGACGUGGUGGAGGUUGUGAAUUGAUGGCGGUGGGUAGAUUAGGAUGGUGAUGGGUAGCUAGGGGUGGGUUUUGAGGCAGGGAUAAGCGUAGGGGUUUGGAUGGGGAUGGGGUACUUGUGGAAGAUGAUGGUUUUUAUUUUUUAACUAAUUAUUGUAAUUUUUUUUAUAUGGAAAGAAAGAAAGGUACCCUUAUAGAAAUAAUUAAUAAUGUGGUCAAAAUCAUUUUAUUGGGCAACUAAUUGUCAAUUUGGAACCCAGGUUCAUAUUUUUGAAAGGUUAGGGACCUUAGCUAGCACAAAUUGAAGGUUAGGGUAAAACUUGCAAAAAUUGAAAAGGUUAGGAACCACAGCUGUAAUUUUCCCUAUAACUUAAUCUAAAGAAAUAUUACUUAAGCCCUUGUUUGAACCUCACUCUUCUAAAAAUUUAUUUUUUCAAAAUUCAUUUUCAACCACACAUUCUUUAGUAAAAUAAUAUUACAUGCAAAUUCAAAAUUUUUCCUUAAUUUUUAACCACACAUUUUCCAUCAAACACUAUUUAAAAAUGCAUCAUUUCUCUCAAAAUGGGAAUCAAACAAGGGCUAACUCUGAAGUCCGAAUCUCAACCUUUCUUCUCCUUCUCUAAAACCCAAUAGCGAUGGGGAAAGAUGAUGAAAAGCAUUGAUGAGAAAUACCAAUUAUGGAAAGAGUGGCUACAGGUCUAUAGCCACAGGAAUCUAGUUUAGCUUGAUUACUAGUUCGAAAUUUUUUGCUCCGAUAAUUUGUGCUUGUUCUCUACGCUACACUUGGUGGCUAGAUGCAAGUGGCUGUCGAGACAAUGAUGAUGGGCAUUCUAGUAAUUGGAGUCUCCUGUGACUCGAUUUAACCCAUCGAUGGUGCAUUCUCCGUGCGGGAGAGUAUUAGGGUCCCUAAGUGUAAGGACGUUAUUAAGAAACUCAUGGUGAAA
rnacentral:lncRNA from 1 species